rnacentral:rRNA from 1 species
GAUGAACGCUGGCGGCGUGCCUAAUACAUGCAAGUCGAGCGAACAGACGAGGAGCUUGCUCCUCUGACGUUAGCGGCAGACGGGUGAGUAACACGUGGAUAACCUACCUAUAAGACUGGGAUAACUUCGGGAAACCGGAGCUAAUACCGGAUAAUAUAUUGAACCGCAUGGUUCAAUAGUGAAAGACGGUUUUGCUGUCACUUAUAGAUGGAUCCGCGCCGCAUUAGCUAGUUGGUAAGGUAACGGCUUACCAAGGCAACGAUGCGUAGCCGACCUGAGAGGGUGAUCGGCCACACUGGAACUGAGACACGGUCCAGACUCCUACGGGAGGCAGCAGUAGGGAAUCUUCCGCAAUGGGCGAAAGCCUGACGGAGCAACGCCGCGUGAGUGAUGAAGGUCUUCGGAUCGUAAAACUCUGUUAUUAGGGAAGAACAAAUGUGUAAGUAACUAUGCACGUCUUGACGGUACCUAAUCAGAAAGCCACGGCUAACUACGUA